rnacentral:rRNA from 1 species
GACGAACGCUGGCGGCGUGCUUAACACAUGCAAGUCGAACGGUGACCUCGAGAGCUUGCUCUCGGGCGAUCAGUGGCGAACGGGUGAGUAACACGUGAGUAACCUGCCCCAGACUCUGGAAUAACCCCGGGAAACCGGAGCUAAUACCGGAUACGAGACGGAGUCGCAUGGCUACCGUCUGGAAAGUUUUUCGGUCUGGGAUGGACUCGCGGCCUAUCAGCUAGUUGGUGAGGUAACGGCUCACCAAGGCGACGACGGGUAGCCGGCCUGGGAGGGCGACCGGCCACACUGGGACUGAGACACGGCCCAGACUCCGACGGGAGGCAGCAGUGGGGAAUAUUGCACAAUGGGCGAAAGCCUGAUGCAGCGACGCCGCGUGAGGGAUGACGGCCUUCGGGUUGUAAACCUCUUUCAGCAGGGAAGAAGCGAAAGUGACGGUACCUGCAGAAGAAGCACCGGCUAACUACGUGCCAGCCGCCGCGGUAAUAC